AUGGCAUUUAUUAAAGUAGAAAGUGAAGACCUGAAGAUUGAAGAAACAUUCACAGUCAAACAGGAAGAUCUGCAGGAACAAACAGACCUGAUGGUGUUGAAAGAAGAGACUCAUCAACAGAAUGAAAUGGAAGAGAAACUUCAAGAAAUAACGACUGAUGAAAAACCCACACUGAAUAAAAAGACUUCAUCACGUGGAAGACCUCGGAAAUCCAAAUCUGCGUGUAAUUUCAGCAGUAAACAGAGUAGAAAGAGUUUCAGUCAAAAGUCAAACCUUGAUGUUCACAUGAGAGUUCACACUAGGGAGAAACCUUACACCUGCGAACAAUGUGGAAAGAGUUUUGGUCACAUACAAGGCUUUGAAAACCACAUGAGAAUUCACACUGGAGAGAAGCCUUUCAGCUGUAAACAGUGUGGAAAGAGUUUCAGUCAAAAGGCAAACCUUGAUGUUCACAUGAGAGUUCACACUAAGGAGAGGCCUUACACCUGCGAACAGUGUGGAAAGAGUUUUACUUAUAAACAAGGCUUUACAACCCACAUGAGAAUUCACACUGGAGAGAGGCCAUACACAUGCCAACAGUGUGAAAAAAGCUUCUAUCAUCCAGGAAACUUUGCAGUGCACAUGAGAAUUCACACUGGAGAGAGGCCGUACAUAUGCCAACAGUGUGGAAAAAGCUUCUACCAAUCAGGAAACUUUGCAGCGCACAUGAGAAUUCACACUGGGGAGAGGCCUUACUCUUGCAUCCAGUGUGGAAAGAGUUUUAAGCAAAAUGGCACCCUUGAAGUCCACAUGAGAACACACACUGGAAACAGAAGUUUUAUUUGCACACACUGUGGGAAACAUUUUUCUCAAAAACAUGACCUUAACAUCCACAUGAGGAUUCACACUGGAGAAAAACCUCACACAUGCACACAGUGUGGGAAAAGGUUUACUCAAAAAACAAUUUGUGACAACCACAUGAGGAUUCAUACUGGAGAGAAACCUUACAGAUGCACAGAGUGUGGGAAAACUUUCCCACAUAAAAGCACACUCAAACACCACAUGAGAACUCACACUGGAGAGAAGCCGUUUGCAUGUACUCAGUGUGGAAAGCGCUUCACAACCAAAGCUAGCCUCAAGAACCUCAAGGAUAAUCACACUGGAACCAUAGUGUUGACAUGUGAUCAGUGUGAAAAGAGUCUCACACGCAAAGACUCCAUCAGGAAACACAUCAGGAAGAUUAACUCAGGAGAGGACCCUUUUAGAUGCAGUGAAUGUGGAAAGGGCUUUAAACAUAAAAGAAGCCUCAACACUCACCUAAAGCUUCACAUUGGAUAGCAGAGUCCCCAAAAUUGAGGCCUUUUCCACACAAACACUGGUAUAUUCAAAACGGCAGCUUUUUCAUGUAGUUUGGCUGUCCAUCCAAGUGAAGUUUAUUUAUACUUCUUUUGAGAGGAUCACAUGCUUAUGAUUGUCUACGGCUGGUCCUGCAUUAGCCAACACAUGAUUUACCAAUCAGAUGAUUCCUGACUCACUAUAAAUAACCAGAGUUUCUUACCAGGACAAGUGUGAACUUUUGAAUACAUAUCAAGUUUUCUGAAGAUGAAACCCUUUGAACACCUGCAGGGCUUCAAGAACCCAAAAUAACUCUAUAUGUUGAUAGAUUGUAUGACUUGUUUCAUAUGCAAACAAGUAUUUGCAUCUGAAAAGGUGUGAACCAAAUGACCUACAGGAACUCAAGAGUUGUGACCCAACCAAAGAAGUAGGCCGAUCUCCGAGGGUUACAUCCUUUGUUAUAAAGUAAUGUCUCACUUUGGGUUAAGUUACCAAUGAGUUAACAUCGCUGCUGAGGAACUGCACUAUUCAUUGUCUUCGAUAAAGUCUUCUCCCCGUAAGAGCUUUGGUCAGCUUACUUAUUUUAUGUAUUAAAGUCAUCUAUGUAAAAAUUAAUUAAGCUGUAUUCCUCCUCUUCCCAUCUACUGUGUGCCACCACUCAAGCUAGAUUAGCAACACCUGUGUUUUUCCCUAUAAAAGUUUGUGUGUAAAAAGCUAGUGUGUUCAGUCUUGAGCCUUUACUGCCCAGUGCUCGCCCGAUUCUCUUGAGACGCUAAGUGACACUUUAUUUUUAUUGUUGUUGUUGUUGUUUUUUUUUUUACCCUUGUGUCAGAUUUGUUUUGCCUGUUUACUGGACGCUCUGCUUCCGUCAUUUCUGUUGUACUUUGUAUUCUAUUUUUCAAAUAAAGAUCAGUUGUUUCUUGUUUCUGAAACUAAA